rnacentral:rRNA from 1 species
UACGGAGGGUGCAAGCGUUAUCCGGAAUUACUGGGUUUAAAGGGUGCGUAGGCGGCUGUAUAAGUCAGAGGUGAAAGGUUGUCGCUUAACGAUAGAAUUGCCUUUGAUACUGUAUAGCUUGAAAUUAGGUGAGGUUGGCGGAAUGUGACAUGUAGCGGUGAAAUGCAUAGAUAUGUCAUAGAACACCGAUUGCGAAGGUAGCUGGCGAACCUAAGUUUGACUCUGAGGCACGAAAGCGUGGGUAGCAAACAGG